ACAUCUAGACGUGUUUAAGGCUGCUAAUGGUUGCUAUUUAACUGUGUGUGUGUGUGUGUGUGUGUGUAUACCAGGAUGACUUCCUGCUGAUCCACUAUGACAAAGGGCCGUGUCGGAACAAACUGGGUCACUCCAGGGCGUCGGUGAUCUGGCACAGAACACAGGUUGUGGGGAUCUUCGCCGGGUUCGGCCUGCUCCUGCUGGUCGCCUCGCCCUUCCUCCUGCUGGCCACGCCCAUCGUCCUCUGCUGCAAGUGCAAAUGCAGCAAAGGCGACGACGACCCGCUGCCGACCUAAACGCCCCGCAGCGACGCGUCGCAUCUUCUUCCCGUCGAGUUUCACCACUUUUCCAUUCUGUUUUCCUCCCACCAGCUUUGAGAGAGCUUCAUUUUUCCGAGCUGGCCUGAAGCAGCCGCCGCUCUGCAUGAGGAGGACAGAAAAGACGCUGUUCCUCCGCUGAGACGUUGGGAAAACUUUGGACGGUUUGGGAAUGUGAAGAACGUUUGCUCUUCUUUUUUUUUUUUUUUUGGUGGUGUAAUUAUUUUGGGCGGAUGCGAACACUUCCUGGUCUGCUGAACGGACGCCUUCGCCGCCCGUAGAAGGACUUUUACCUUUUUGCUCUGUAAACACUAAAGCUUUCCCUCACUGCAGCGGUGUCCAAACGGUCGGCAGGGGGGCCAGAAACGGCACGUUGGAAAUACUUUUUAGUAUUUUUGUAUUUCAUUAUUAUUGCAAAAAAUAUUUUAUGUUGAUAAAAUAUCAUGAUGAUAGCAGUCAGAGUUUUAAAUUACUGUAUAUUAAAAACAUAAAACGGUUUUGCAGGUUUGAAAGAUAAAAAAAAAAACAUUGUAAAUUUUUCAAGUUGAUAUUUUUCUAAAUUUUUUAGUCGUUUUCGAGGUAAAAAAAAUUUCCCAGAAUUUAUCACGAUAAACGAUAAUUAUGAUGUUAAUGAAUAAUUGUUUACCUAUCUAAAGGAGCAAUUUUUAUUCUAAAAUAAAAGAAACUUCAGUUAAAAUUAUCACCUGUAAUCAAGGAUUAUAUUUAUUCAAAUUCUAAAAUACUUUAUUAAAUAUUAUUAGAUUUUGCUGGGUGAUAAAUUGUCCGAGAAGUUAUCGCAAUAAAUGAUAAUAUUGUUGCUUUGAGACCAUUUUCAAGUAUCAAAAACAAGGCAGUGCUUUCUCUAAUAUGAAUAAACUUUAAAUUCUAAUUCAUCUUUAUCACUGGAAUAUUAAAAAAAGAAUCCAAAAAUAAAUAAGAAAAAUAAAUACAAACAACAGAUAAAAUUAUCCUUUAGAAAAAGGGCUAGUUGUGUCUAAACACUUUUUUCAUCCAGUUUUUAGUAGAAAAAAAGAAUGAAAAAAUGAUAAAUAAUGCAAAUGGAAAUUAUUGAGUUUGUUGCUAUGAAUUUAUUUAUUGCGAGAGGCCCAAUCUUUUCAGCAACAAGAAGAUUUUAUGGCUCUUGCUUCAUUUUGAAGAGUUUAUUACACAGUAAUAAAGACGUUUUUAACCCCAGUUAAUAGUAAAUAAAUUAAAA